UGGCCCGUAGCUCAGGUGGUUAGAGCGCACGCCUGAUAAGCGUGAGGUCGGUGGUUCGAGUCCACCCGGGCCAA
rfam:Devosia lucknowensis strain L15 genome assembly, contig: Ga0138907_13